UCGAGAAUAUUUAGCAAUGGACGAAAGUCUGACUAUGCGACGCCGCGUGAGGGAUGAAGUAUUUCGGUACGUAAACCUCUUUCGAUAGGGAAGAAACUAACUAUAGUAAUAUAGGAACUGACGGUACCUAGAGAAGAAGCCAUGGCCAACUCCGUGCCAGCAGCCGAGGUAAUACGGAGGGUGCGAGCGUUGUUCGGAUUUAUUGGGCGUAAAGCGCGUGUAGGCGGUCUUUUAAGUCUGAUGUGAAAGCCCUGGGCUCAACCCGGGAAGUGCAUUGGAAACUGGGAUACUUGAAUACGGGAGAGGGUAUUGGAAUUCCUAGUGUAGGAGUGAAAUCCGUAGAUAUUAGGAGGAACACCGGUGGCGAAGGCGACUUUCUGGCCCUAUACUGACGCUGAGACGCGAAAGCGUGGGUAGCAAAAA
rnacentral:rRNA from 1 species